rnacentral:rRNA from 1 species
ACUGGAUGAGCAGCGAACGGGUGAGUAACGCGUGGGGAAUCUGCCUUUGAGCGGGGGACAACAUUUGGAAACGAAUGCUAAUACCGCAUAAAAACUUUAAACACAAGUUUUAAGUUUGAAAGAUGCAAUUGCAUCACUCAAAGAUGAUCCCGCGUUGUAUUAGCUAGUUGGUGAGGUAAAGGCUCACCAAGGCGAUGAUACAUAGCCGACCUGAGAGGGUGAUCGGCCACAUUGGGACUGAGACACGGCCCAAACUCCUACGGGAGGCAGCAGUAGGGAAUCUUCGGCAAUGGACGAAAGUCUGACCGAGCAACGCCGCGUGAGUGAAGAAGGUUUUCGGAUCGUAAAACUCUGUUGGUAGAGAAGAACGUUGGUGAGAGUGGAAAGCUCAUCAAGUGACGGUAACUACCCAGAAAGGGACGGCUAACUACGUGCCAGCAGCCGCGGUAAUACGUAGGUCCCGAGCGUUGUCCGGAUUUAUUGGGCGUAAAGCGAGCGCAGGUGGUUUAUUAAGUCUGGUGUAAAAGGCAGUGGCUCAACCAUUGUAUGCAUUGGAAACUGGUAGACUUGAGUGCAGGAGAGGAGAGUGGAAUUCCAUGUGUAGCGGUGAAAUGCGUAGAUAUAU